rnacentral:rRNA from 1 species
CCUACGGGAGGCAGCAGUGAGGAAUAUUGGUCAAUGGGCUUACGCCUGAACCAGCCAAGUCGCGUGAGGGAAGACUGCCCUAUGGGUUGUAAACCUCUUUUGUCAGGGAGCAACGCCGGCUACGUGUAGCCGGACUGAGAGUACCUGAAGAAAAAGCAUCGGCUAACUCCGUGCCAGCAGCCGCGGUAAUACGGAGGAUGCGAGCGUUAUCCGGAUUUAUUGGGUUUAAAGGGUGCGUAGGCGGAAUGCCAAGUCAGCGGUAAAAUCGCGGGGCUCAACCUCGCUCCGCCGUUGAAACUGGCGUUCUUGAGUGGGCGAGAAGUACGCGGAAUGCGUGGUGUAGCGGUGAAAUGCAUAGAUAUCACGCAGAACUCCGAUUGCGAAGGCAGCAUACCGGCGCCCAACUGACGCUGAAGCACGAAAGCGUGGGGAUCGAACAGGAUUAGAUACCCGGGUAGUC